rnacentral:rRNA from 1 species
UACGGAGGGUGCGAGCGUUGUCCGGAAUCACUGGGCGUAAAGGGUGCGUAGGUGGCGGGGUAAGUCAGGUGUGAAAUUUCGGAGCUCAACUCCGAAACUGCAUUUGAUACUGCCUUGCUUGAGGACUGGAGAGGAGACUGGAAUUCACGGUGUAGCAGUGAAAUGCGUAGAUAUCGUGAGGAAGACCAGUGGCGAAGGCGGGUCUCUGGACAGUUCCUGACACUGAGGCACGAAGGCCAGGGGAGCAAACGGG